rnacentral:lncRNA from 1 species
CCCUUGUGUGAUGGACCUGGUUUACUUCAUAUCAUCUGGAAACAAUUCAAUCUGGUCUUGGCCAAGAAGCCAUCCAUGAAGAUAAACACUGAGACCUGAGCCAUAUAAUCAACCAAUACUUCAUCGUGAUGUACCGGGAAUGCAUCUUUCUGAUUAGCUCUGCUCGCGUCUUGAUAGUCUAUUCACACCUUCUCUCUUUCUCAUCCUUUGUCGGCUUCAGCUUUUGCUCUCUAACCUCGGCGGAGCUUGGAGUAACAAUCUUGAAUCGCUCCUCGUGCGGUUGAAUCACCUUCUCCUCUUGUUUCAAUGACCUGGCUAAUUC